AUUAUAGAUGAAAAUGACGUAACACUAAAUUCCAUGAAGCUGGACAAUCAGGCAUAUGUAAUAUGUGAAACAGUCCUACGAGCACAAGAAGAAGAAAGAAAUUUUGAUAAAGUCACUUUAUCUGCGUUGAUGAGAUGAAACCUACAGCCGCAUUGGUGGACAUUCUACUACUAUCACUACGGGAUGUUUAGUGAUUUGGACUUUCUAGUCGAGUCACUUAUAUAAUGUCGACAUAGAGAUCUUGAUUUGGAAUUAUAUAAUCAUUCUGCAAAAAGACAAUGGCUGUUUUCACUGAUGAGUCUUAUGUAGACUAACCGCACCGAUGUAUCUAAUUAUAAGCCUGCAUGGUUCCUGUUUUCUGGUCUGUGCUUUAAAUAAGCAUAAAAGAAUUUUAAACCUAAAACAUAUAUAAAUUCCACAUAUUUUCAGGCAUUUCCGUAAAUUAUAAUGUUUCGGAUUCGGGCUAUGUUUAUAUACAAGAUUCAUCGCAAAAAUAAUCCGGCCUUGGUGGAUGAAUUUUAAUGUAGUUAGUUUUGUGUAAGAAGUAGUAAUUUGGAAGGAUUAAUAUGCAAAAAUGGAAGAAUCGAUAAGAAAAAAAUGUUAUGGCUAUUUUUUAUUUCAAAAUAACUAGAUAUUCCAAAUGUGCAUAAUAAGAGGUUUAAAAAAUGUGCAUAAUAAGAGUUUUAAAAAAUCUGCAAAAUAUGAAUGACUCGAAAGUCCUGCCUCAAGACUUGAACUUUUGUAAUGUCCAGAUAUCGCUUUUUUCUGAAUAGGGUUCAGGACCUUCUCGCUUCUUAUUUCCAUUACACAGCUCUUAGCAAUAUCAAUCCAUAUUUUUAGAAUGUGCAUUUGUUGCACUAUAUUGUUGGAAAACCAAAAAAUAUGUUGAACGUUAAUUUUUAAAGUUAUGUGACAAACAAAGUGUCCAGUGUUUAUUGGAAUAUACCUCUUUUAAAGUUUUAUGAACAAAGACAAAUACAUAAAAAUUACUUGUAAAAUAAUGACGAAUUGUAGAGCUUGAACAAAAGAGACAAAAACUAAUUGAUAUUAUGUUUUAAUGAGAAUCAA